GGAUUAGAUACCCUGGUAGUCCACCCCGUAAACGUUGGGAACUAGUUGUGGGGACCAUUCCACGGUCUCCGUGACGCAGCUAACGCAUUAAGUUCCCCGCCUGGGGAGUACGGCCGCAAGGCUAAAACUCAAAGGAAUUGACGGGGACCCGCACAAGCGGCGGAGCAUGCGGAUUAAUUCGAUGCAACGCGAAGAACCUUACCAAGGCUUGACAUAUAGAGGAAACGUGCAGAAAUGUACGCCCCGCAAGGUCUCUAUACAGGUGGUGCAUGGUUGUCGUCAGCUCGUGCCG
rnacentral:rRNA from 1 species